rnacentral:rRNA from 1 species
AAACGAUGCCGAUGUCGUGGUGCCGAAUAAUGGCGACGCGAAAGAGAAAUCGAGUAGGGCCCUGGGGAGAGUACACGCGCAAGCGAGAAAUUUAAAGGAAAUUGACGGAAGAACACCACAAGGAGUGGAGUGUGCGGCUUAAUUUGACUCAACGCGGGACAACUUACCGGGCCCGACGACCGUAUGAGUGUAACACACGAUAGGUCGAAGAGUGGUGCAUGGCCGUUAACGACGAGUGGAGUGAUCUUUGGGUUAAGUCCGUAAAUUAGUGAGACCUCAGCCGUAAGGGACAGGUGCGCAAAGCACAGGAAGGAUGGGUCAAGGACAGGUCAGUGAUGCCCUUAGAUGGUCCGGGCUGCACGCGCACUACAGUGGUCGCCGAAAUAAAUUUAUAGAUUUAAAGGCGAUCGAGAGGGAAUGAGCUUUGUAAGAGGCUCAGGAACGAGGAAUUGCUAGUAAUCGCGGACUCAUUAAGACGCGAUGAAUACGUCCCUGUUCUUUGUACACACCGCCCGUCGUUAUCGAAGAUGAAGACAGGCGCGAACGAUCUACCAGAAAGUGAGCGCAGGUCUUUAGAUCUGAUACAAGUCGUAACAAGGUAGCUGUAGGAGAACCUGUAGCUG